rnacentral:lncRNA from 1 species
GAAUAGAAGAUCGAGGAUUUAUCAUUGUUAACUUCUUGUCCUCUCAAGUCCCCAUAUCGUGAGAUGAUUCCCAUGAUAUUUCUUGCCUCCUGGAUAAAGGAUCCAAGGUUGAUCAGUUCGUUGGACUACACUUAGCAUUCCCCAAAACUCUGCUCUCUCUGAUGGUACACUAGGGCUAUAAACAAAGGUGCAAUAAAAACCUUCGUCAUAAGGAAUAAAAGUAGGGAUAUAGUUUUUGGUGGAGCUAAUAAUGGAUACAUUCAGAUCAUUCAUCCACCAAUUGAAGGGAAUGUCUCUUCCCUUCCAAAAACUCCUCCCAAUUCUUUGUUUCUGAGAGAUAAUGAUGCUUGGGUGGCUGGAGUGGUUGAUAUCACUGAGCUGUCCUAUUGUAAGGGGCCUCCGGAUGCCCCUGCAAUUCCAUGC